CCUCAGCUACACCUUAGCUAACUUAUUACAUAAGCUAGUAGGCUAGCUCAUGCAUGUUAGCAAGACACAUGUUACUAUUUGUUUUGUCUUUCGGCUAAUUAGCUGUAAACUCGAGGCACUGGCUGCUUAGUCUUUUGUUCAUCACCACUCACCUCCACACAAGCCAAGAAAAACUUUCUGGGAACCCUCUUUGUCUGAGACACCUGGAGGAGAGGAAGAAGAGACACAAGAGAAGCCAUAAGUCUUGACCAUCGAUUACAGGUAUGGAGUCAAGGAAAUGCAGUUGAGCAUCUAACUCCGAAGAUCGUCAGCUGAAUGGCAAUCUUGAUUGGUUCCUGGGCGCCUUCAUCACCACCACCAGUGUCUGGACUCCAUCGGGGGGAUAUGUUUGGGUUCACUACCCCUUUUAUAACAUAUGGAUUCGAUGGAGUCUAAUCUCCAGAG